rnacentral:rRNA from 1 species
CCUACGGGAGGCAGCAGUGGGGAAUAUUGCACAAUGGGGGAAACCCUGAUGCAGCGACGCCGCGUGAGUGAAGAAGUAUCUCGGUACGUAAAGCUCUAUCAGCAGGGAAGAAAAUGACGGUACCUGACUAAGAAGCCCCGGCUAACUACGUGCCAGCAGCCGCGGUAAUACGUAGGGGCAAGGGUUUAUCCGGAUUUACUGGGUGUAAGGGGAGCGAAGACGGAAGAAAAAGUUUGAGGUGAAUUCCCGGGGCUUAACCCCGGAACUGCUUUGGAAACUGUGCGGCUGGAGUGCAGGAGGGGUAAGCGGAAUUCCUAGUGUAGCGGUGAAAUGCGUAGAUAUUAGGAGGAACACCGGUGGCGAAGGCGGCUUACUGGACUGUAACUGACGUUGAGGCUCGAAAGCGUGGGGAGCAAACAGGAUUAGAUACCCCUGUAGUC